CCUACGGGAGGCAGCAGUGGGGAAUCUUGCGCAAUGGGCGAAAGCCUGACGCAGCCAUGCCGCGUGAAUGAUGAAGGUCUUAGGAUUGUAAAAUUCUUUCACCGGGGACGAUAAUGACGGUACCCGGAGAAGAAGCCCCGGCUAACUUCGUGCCAGCAGCCGCGGUAAUACGAAGGGGGCUAGCGUUGCUCGGAAUUACUGGGCGUAAAGGGCGCGUAGGCGGACAUUUAAGUCAGGGGUGAAAUCCCAGAGCUCAACUCUGGAACUGCCUUUGAUACUGGGUGUCUUGAGUGUGAGAGAGGUAUGUGGAACUCCGAGUGUAGAGGUGAAAUUCGUAGAUAUUCGGAAGAACACCAGUGGCGAAGGCGACAUACUGGCUCAUUACUGACGCUGAGGCGCGAAAGCGUGGGGAGCAAACAGGAUUAGAUACCCUGGUAGUCCACGCCGUAAACGAUGAUUGCUAGUUGUCGGGCUGCAUGCAGUUCGGUGACGCAGCUAACGCAUUAAGCAAUCCGCCUGGGGAGUACGGUCGCAAGAUUAAAACUCAAAGGAAUUGACGG
rnacentral:rRNA from 1 species